rfam:Nippostrongylus brasiliensis genome assembly, scaffold: NBR_scaffold0002260
ACAUCGGUAGCACAGUGGUCAGUGCAAUCUGCCGGAAACAGAAAGACGUGGGUUCAAUUCCCAUCCGAUGUC